AGAUUGAACGCUGGCGGCAGGCCUAACACAUGCAAGUCGAGCGGUAGAGAGGUGCUUGCAUCUCUUGAGAGCGGCGGACGGGUGAGUAAUGCCUAGGAAUCUGCCUAGUGGUGGGGGAUAACGUUCGGAAACGGCGCUAAUACCGCAUACGUCCUAGGAGAAGCGGGGACCGUCGGCGUCGCGCCAUAGAUGAGCCGUAGGUACGGACUUAGUCGUAGUUGGUGGAGGUAAGUGGCUCACCGAGGACGACGAC
rnacentral:rRNA from 1 species